UGGAUAUAUUGGUAGCCAACUGGCUAUAUUUAACCUCAAAUUCCUCAUCUUUAAUUAACAAUUGUAUGAAUCAUUAAUUGAUACUAAUAAUUGUAUGAAUCUCAUAGACUUCUUGUGAGGAAUCAGUGGGAUAAUCCCAUGAGUAUUAGAAUAGCACUGACAUAUAACAGCUCAAUAAAUGUUAGCUAUUAUUACCUAAGAUGUCUCAAAUAAUGGGGUGGAGUUAUAUAAAUAAAAGAAAAUAUUUGUGGCUGAGAUAGGUAAAUAAAGAAAUGCUGAGACUGACCUUAUAUGUGUGGUUGAUGAAUUUGGGCUUAGUUUUAUAGGCAGUAGAGUUGAGCAGGGGCUGUAACAUUAUUACCAGUAGACAUACAAUUUGGAAAGCUUGCACUCACCAAGAUGUGUGUGAUGGAUUGGAGGGGGUAGAAGUCACGGGGCUCAGCAGGAGGCCUUUAGGAAAGAAUAGCUGAGAAGUAAUGAGAGCAUGAAGCAGAGGGAGUGACUCGGGUGGAUGAGGGCAAGGAGAGAAAGAAGAAACCAUGGAGAUCAAAUAGACAAGCUUGGCCACCAAUUGGAUAUCAUGGGUCAGGAGAAAGAAAGGCAAAGUUUCAGAACUAAAAAAAAAUACUUGGCUCAUGCCUGUAAUCUCAGCACUUUGGGAGGCCAAGGCGGGUAGAUCACGAGGUCAAGAGAUCGAGACCAUCCUGGUCAACAUGGUGAAACCCCGUCCCUACUAAAAAUACAAAAUAUUAGCUGGGCAUGGUGGUGCGUGCCUGUAAUCCCAGCUACUCAGGAGGCUGAGGCAGGAGAAUUGCCUGAACCCAGGAGGCAGAGGUUGCGGUGAGCCAAGAUCGCGCCAUUGCACUCCAGCCUAGGUAAAAAGAGCGAAACUCCAUCUCAAAAAAAAAAAAAAAAAUACUGGUAGUUACCUGCAGCAGAUCUGUUACUUUGUUUGUUUUUGUUUGUUUGUUUGCUUGUUUUUGUCUAUCCCGCAUUCCCUACCACCCCUCCCUUCCCCAUUUCUAACAGAAAUCCAGUUUUGUUCAAAUAUUCAGCCUCUUCUAAGCGGCCACUGCUUCAGAAAGGAUUCACUCAUCUUCAACCCCAGGGAUGAGUCUUGAUUUAUUCAAGUCACACAGACAGCUCCCUUUGUCCACACAAUCCAGAUGGCUCCAUUUGUCCACAUCAUCCACGUGGCUCCAUUUGUCUAAGCCUUCCAAGUGGCUCCAUUUGUUCACACCAUCUAGGUGGCUCCAUUUGUUCACACUAUCCAGGUGGCUCCAUUUGUUUAUGCCCUCUAGGUGGCUUUCCAGGGAUUGGAUUAGGCAUAAGCAGCUGGGUAAAUUAUUAGCAAAAGAAGCAAAGGGAUGGAAACCACCCAGAUGUCCAUCCACCAAAAAAUGGAUAAGCAGAAUGUGGUAUAUCCACACAAUGGAAUAUUAUUCAGGAAUAAAAAAGAAUGAGGCACUGAUUCACAGUACAAUGUUGAUAAGCUCCAAAGAGUAUGCUAAGUGAAAAAAGCCAAACACAAAAUGCCACAUAUUAUAUGAGUCAUUUAAACAAACUGUUCAGAAUAGGUUAAUCCAUAUAGGCAGAAAGUGGAUUAAUAGUUGCCAGGGACUGGGGAGAGAAGGGAGCAAGGAAUGAUUAUUAAUGGACAAAGGGUUCUUUUGGGGCAGUGAAAAUGUUCUAAAAUUUAUUGUGGUGAUGGCCAUACAAUUACCAUUGAAUUAUAGACUUUAAAUAGGUGACUUAAAUAAUGUGUAAAUUGUUUAAUGAAGCUGUAAUUUUUUUGUUUUGAAAUGGAGUCUUGCUCUAUUGCCCAGGCUGGAGUGUAAUGGCAUGAUCUCAGCUCACUGCAACCUCUGCCUCCUGGGUUGAAGCGAUUCUUCUGCCUUGGCCUCUUGAGUAGCUGGGACUACAGAUGUAUGCCACCACACCCAGCUAAGUUUUUGUAUUCUUUUUUUUAGUAGAGAAGGGGUUUUGCCGUGUUGGCCAAGAUGGUCUCGAUCUCCUGACCUCUUGAUCUGCUUGCCUCAGCCUUCUACAAUGCUGGGAUUACAGGUGUGAGCCACUGCGCCCAGCCAGUAAUUGUGUUGUUGUUGUUGUUGUUUAAGGAGCAAAGGGAAGACUGCUAAGGAGACUUCCCAGAAAGGCUCUGUCACUCUUAAACAGAAACAACAGAGUUUGAUCCUUUUCCUCUAGAGGCUGAAUACAGCCUCUAACUACGACCACUAGAGCUAUCAGAGAGGUCUGUGAGAGGAGCCAAACAGACACCAAAACUGAUACACACCGCAAGGCAGAGCUAAGAAAAGCCCCUCAACUUCUCUAAAAUACAUUUCUUUAUUUUAGGCACUUGAACUGGGAUAUUCUGUCAUAUAUUACAGGUAUUCUAACAGAUACAGUUCUAUUAACAGAAACUGUUAGGUCAGAAGAAGGUCUGUAUUUUCAGAGACUAUGAAUUUAUGUCCAUUUACAAGUGUAAGUAUAAUGUAAGUGAAAUUUAGAGGUGGAAUUCUAGAUCUGAUUAAGGGUAUGGAUGAGUGGAUUGAUUGAUUGAUUGAUUGACUGACUGAGGAAUUACAUGCCCAGAGGUGAAGGCUGAAGCCCAAGAGAGAGCACAGAGAGGAUGCAAAGGAAAGUCUGAGCUCCCUGGACUCCCUACAUUGAGUAGGAGGAAGGGGAAGAUAAAUCAGUGAAAGAAACUUAGAAAAAGUCCAUAUGAAAGGAUGUGGGAAAGAUUGAAAUGCUACAUGUGCUGCCAUGUAAACCAAAAAGUGAAUUCAGGAAGAAGGGAGAUAAAGUUUGGAUCAAAUUCUACCAUAAGGAUCAAGGCACAAUAAUGUAGUUAGAUAGACGAAGUGAUCAUUGUAAGAAAAAGGUAAGACAAAAAACAAAGGUAGUUUAGUGGCGUGAUGAUGGCAAAAGCCAGAUUUGAGAAGAUGUGAGUUGGAAGACAGUGAGUGGACACUGAGGAAGCAGUGGCACUUCCUUCUGAAAGUUGUAGCUAUGGGAAACAUUACUGUAUUCACCAAUAUCUGGUUCUACUCUCAUUCCAGGCACACAGAAGAUGGUAAUUCCCAGUGUCCUUGCACUUGUGGAAGAGUAAUGUGGCAGUUCUUCAAAGAAAUGUGAAAUAUGAGGUCUCGCUAUGUUGCCCAGGCUGGUCUCAAACUUCUGGACUCAAGCAAGCCUGCCAUCUUGGCUUCCAAAAAAUGCUGUGAGGGCUUUAGGAGGUGGUUAAGAUGAAAAGGAAGCUGCCUUGCCCUUCUGCCAUGUGAGAACUCUGCAUGAAGACACCAUCUAUGAAGCAGAGAGCCCUCACCAGACACCGAAUCUAUUGCCACCUUGAUCUUGGACUUCCUGGCCUCUAAAACUGUGAGUAAUACAUGUCUAUUAUUUAUAAAUUACCCAGUUUAAGGUAUUUUGUUACAGCAGCCUGAACAGACUAUGACUCCCUUUAUGCAUCAACUCCAUUUUUCUCUUUUUCUCUCCUUACCUUUUUUUCAGUCUGAGUGCUCAUUUUGGGCAUGGUCCAAUAUUUGCUAAUUUAGCCUCAAUCUCCAGUUUCUCCUCACUCAAGUAUUUAUACCAACUGAAAUCUCUGUGAUUUAAAACUUUUAAAAGAGGGGACCUAAUUGGCUUUACCAGCCUAUGGCUGUCCUUGGGGCCAGAUGAUCUUAUUCAGCUGAAGCCAUAGCAAGAGGAGAGUCAGGGCUCUCAAGUGUGCAAACAUGAUAACCCAGGUUCACACAUUUCAGGCAUGGUGGAGGUGCAACUGUGAGAAAUGGGCCUACUGUAUGCUCCAGUCUCCAGGAGAAUUGGAGGACAAAGUGGUGAUGGUCCCUCACAAGUCUAUGUCUCUACAGUGAAGAAGAAAACUAAGAGUCAUAUCUCCAUAGAAAGUACACAUUCCUGUAUUUCAUUUAAAGGGCAACAUGUGAAGUCCUGGUUUUACAUUAUGUCCAAGUCUUUUGAGAAACACAUCCAACAGUGGUUUGUGCCUAUUUCAUACUCGUUUUGUUUUAUUUGGCAGCAAAAUGAAGAUCGUGUUUCGAAUAAAAGCCCAGUGCUGUCCUUUAUAAGUUUCAUUAAGCAUUAUAUGCUAUUCCUGUCCUCUUUUUCAGCCAUGCCCAGGCAUGCUUCUCAGACUCCUUUUGUGGGAAUAUUUUUGCUUAUUUUUACAUUAUGGUUUCUCAUAGUCAAAAAAUAAAUUUAACAUUUGACAUAGGGUUGGAGGAUUUGGGGAAAAUAAAAGUCCCUUAUCAACUCAUUGUUUAUAUCAAUGAACUAAUCAAAUUGCUUUUUCGUGAUACUGUUUAGA